GUGCUCACUGCAGCAUAUACGUUAAAACUGAAAUAACACAGAGAAGAUUAACAUAGUCCCUGUGCCAGGAUGACAUGCAAAUUUAUGAACCACUCUGUAUUAAA
ensembl:snRNA U6 U6 spliceosomal RNA